ACUCCUACGGGAGGCAGCAGUGGGGAAUAUUGCACAAUGGGGGAAACCCUGAUGCAGCCAUGCCGCGUGUGUGAAGAAGGCCUUCGGGUUGUAAAGCACUUUCAGUAGGGAGGAAGGUAGUGUAGUUAACACCUGCAUUAUUUGACGUUACCUACAGAAGAAGCACCGGCUAACUCCGUGCCAGCAGCCGCGGUAAUACGGAGGGUGCGAGCGUUAAUCGGAAUUACUGGGCGUAAAGCGCAUGCAGGCGGCCUGUUAAGUCAGAUGUGAAAGCCCGGGGUCUUAACCUCGGAAUUGCAUUUGAAACUGGCAGGCUAGAGUCUUGUAGAGGGGUAGAAUUUCAGGUGUAGCGGUGAAAUGCGUAGAGAUCUGAAGGAAUACCAGUGGCGAAGGCGGCCCCCUGGACAAAGACUGACGCUCAGAUGCGAAAGCGUGGGAGCAAACAGGAUUAGAUACCCCUGGUAGCAC
rnacentral:rRNA from 1 species